rnacentral:rRNA from 1 species
ACGAACGCUGGCGGCGUGCUUAACACCUGCAAGUCGAACGGAAAGGCCUGCUUUCCCUUGUGGAUUGCGGGUACUCGAGUGGCGAACGGGUGAGUAACACGUGAGUGAUCUGCCCCCAACUUGGGUAUAAGCCUGGGAAACUGGGUCUAAUUCCCGAUAGGACUGCAGGGUGGUGCCUGUGGUGGAAAACGAUUUUCUAGUGGUUGGGGAUGAGCUCGCGGCCUAUCAGCUUGUUGGUGGGGUAAUGGCCUACCAAGGCGGCGACGGGUAGCCGGCCUGAGAGGGUGGACGGCCACAUUGGGACUGAGAUACGGCCCAGACUCCUACGGGAGGCAGCAGUGGGGAAUAGUGCACAAUGGGCGGAAGCCUGAUGCAGCGACGCCGCGUGGGGGAUGACGGCCUUCGGGUUGUAAACUCCUUUCGACCGCGAGGAAGCCACCUGGUUGGAAGGGUGGUGACGGUAGUGGUAGAAGAAGCACCGGCUAACUACGUG